UGCUAAUACCGGAUAACAACAGAUGAUGCCUAUCAACUGUUUAAAAGAUGGUUCUGCUAUCACUCUCGGAUGGACCUGCGGUGCAUUAGCUAGUUGGUAGGGUAACGGCCUACCAAGGCGAUGAUGCAUAGCCGAGUUGAGAGACUGAUCGGCCACAUUGGGACUGAGACACGGCCCAAACUCCUACGGGAGGCAGCAGGU
rnacentral:rRNA from 1 species